rfam:Pongo abelii chromosome 6.
GGGGAUGUAGCUCAGUGGUAGAGCGCGUGCUUUGCAUGUACGAGGUCCCGGGUUCGAUUCCCGGCGUCUCCA